UUGCUCAUGUUCACAGCACAUAUACUAGAAUUGGAACAGUACAGAGAUUAGCAUGACCCCUAAACAAGGAGGACGUGCAAGUUCCUGAAGCAUUCCAUAUUUUU